GGUUGACAAGGAAAUUAACUGUGUCGUCUGCCUUGCCCCCUUCCCAGGGUCAUUCCAUCUCCUACAGGGGAGGGAAUGGAUUGCUGGCCUGUUCCUUUAACUCCUUUCUCCCAGUGAUAUUUCAGAACCAUUCUGAAUUAUUAUUGAAGUAAAAUGAGUUUUAUGAUCAGGAAAUUUCCCACAGUUAUAGCAGCCUAAUAGAAGACAUGGAAGAAGUUAUGAAGAAGCAGGUCAUCUUGGAAAUAAGCUGACUUUCCUGAGGGGGAGUGAAGUGGAAGGUUUUUCAAUUCUGAGAGAACUGACUGAAGAAAUUGAUGAAUAAUGUUCCAUUGUCUGGAUGUGACACAGUUUAUUAAUCCAUUUACUGAAAGGCAUCUUGGUUGCUUCCAAGUUUUGGCGGUUAUGAAUAAAGCUGUGAUAAACAUCCAUGAGCAGGUUUUCAUGGUGGACAUAAACUUUCAGUUUCUUUGGAUGCCCUGAGGCACCCCCAUAUUGGGUCCUUGGAUUGAAAGCAAAGAAUUGAAUAAAUGGAAGAAAGACACAUUCCCUCUUCCACUGUCUGAAUCUACAUUCAUAAUAGACU